ensembl:lincRNA Gm17276 predicted gene, 17276
CACGCAGGUCGCGUGGCUGGAAAGGAUUUCCUGAUCUCUGAGGGUCUUCAGGCUCUGGAGCUCAGUGGGAACUCUUUGGACAGCAGCUCCGGAGUGUGCCACCCAUGGAGUGAUCAGCACCGCGGGCCAAGGAGGAAAGAACCGUGCUGGGGAGUGUGACCCAGACGGGCCGGCUGAUGCAGAGCCGGGUCUGCAAAAGGGGAUGUGAGCUGGAGCACUGAAGAAGGAGCUCACGUGCUGGAUUCCACAAGUCUCUUUGCCCCGAGGGGCGGCGCCUGCGUGAGGCAGCACCUUCAACCCUGCCCUCGCCGGGGGACUCGCGAGUUAGCAGCCGGCCUGUUGAGGUCAGAGGAGGCGGGGUGCGUCCAAGCCUAGCGACUGCGCGUGCUUAAAGCUCUGGAGCAGAGAACGAGCGAGCGGCCUGAGCAACCCCAGCCCGUGACACCACCCGAACCACGCACCACUACAGCUUUCCCGGCAUGGGGCGGGGGGCAAAUGCGGGGUGCUCUCCUUCCAGAGAGAGCUACGUUGUCCGCGGCUACGUGGACAACAGAGCGACCAUUUUCCCUCUGCAGCUCACCUCGCACAUCCCGAAGUGGGUAUGGGAAAUCAAGUCGCUCCACUGCUGACAAGGCUCCCAGGUAGUCAGCAGCACUCUGGGCAUCAGGGAAGCAGUGGUCAUUCUCAGCUGACUGCAGACAGAGCCGGUUGUCAAUCUCCAGCAUCACCACAGAGCUGUGGGAACAGAGCAGAGGCACCCAAAGGCUCAACACUUGUCUACAGCAUCCUAGACACCCGACCUCAGAGAGCCACAUCCGUCUCCACUCUCCAUGUCUCUACCACCCACCCAGCUCUCAGCUGGCAUCCAACUCCACUGUCUCUCCCAACAGAUCUUAUUGGUCACAGUGUCUCAAAGCUGUGAAUUCAAUAAUGUCUUCAUUCGCCCUGGUAGAGUCUGUUGGUGUCGCCCUUUGCUGGGACAGUGUACCAUGUCACAGUUUCUCUAAAAGCUUGCUUUUUCUCCUUUAUCCUUCUUUGUGGUAUUGGAGAUGAACUUGGGGCCUUGAAUAUACAAGGUAGGUUCUCUACCACUGAGCCACGUCCUCUACUGUCCCCCAAUUCUUAGGUCUCUGAGAGUCCUUAGAUUCCUUCUUCAUUUCCUUCUCUCCUGCUUCCUUGAUUCUCCCUUCUUUCCCUCCAAUGGCCUCCAAUACCCAGUUGUCUUGUAUGCAUCUUCAGCCCUCAGUCAUCUCCUGGGGUUCCUCCCCAUACCUCAAGACCCCCUAAGAAUAGCAAGUUCCAAGGUGGCCCCUGCUUAGCCCUAUGUCCUCAUCACUAAGCCACUUUAGCCAAGAAAGGGGCCAUGUGUCACCUCACCCAUCUACUUGACUUCUGCCUGCAUCCAAUCAGAACCCACAAACCACAGCAUCUCUAAAGUUCAGCUCUCCUUUCCUUGUCAGGGCCCAAUCUUCAGGCCCUGGUCCACCCUCAAAAAAAUGCCUCUCCCACUUCAGGUUCCCCCUACCAGGUCACCAGUGAGCAAGUUCUACAACUUUUGUGAGAUGAGGGGAAAGGGGAAUGAAGAGAGUGGGGAGGAAAGAGAGUGAGUGUCGGGGGCGAUAUUGUAUGCCUGCAAUCCUAGUACUUGGAAGGGCUGAGUAGGAGAACCAUGAGUUCAAAGCCAACCUGGGCUACAGAUUGAAUUUCAGGUUAGUGCCUAUAAAACACAAACAAAGCAAACAACGAGAAGAAAACAACAAACAAGCCAGCGAAAUGGCUCACAGGCAACAUGCUCAUCAUGCAAGCCUGACAUCCUGAUGAGAAGAGAGAACUGACUUCACACUGUUGUCCUCUAACCUCUACAGGCAUGCGUCGUCAUGGCACUUGGGGACCUACACACACACAUCAUGCACACAAGAAGGUGCUGUCACCUGCAUUUGAAGAGUAAAAUCUCAGCGCUGCAGCGAGGCUCCCUGUAGUGUACAGAGGAUGAACACCCCCCCCCCCCCCCCAUAGCAAAGAUGUCAACCCGACAGACACGGAAAAACCUGUGGAAGACGCCUUGCCAAGAGAGCUCUCAACUAAGAAGCGUGAAACAGACGGUCUGGACCACGGGUGCCCUAACCGCUGUACCCAGCCCUGAGCCACAGUCACUCACCCGAUCACCUCAGGACCCAGCUCACGACGGACCCGGGAUUCAGAGCCAGGGCUUGGCCGGUGAUAGGGGAAGACCAUGGCCUGGCCACGUGCGUCCAAGCGGAAGCGCAGUGAGGUGCGCAGAAUAGCGCUGAGUCGCUGCAGAAAGUCGGCACUGGAGCGCAGCAACUCUUCAGGAGGCAGAAGAACUGUGAGGACCAGAACCCCUCGGGCCAAAAGGGCCGGGACCUCGCUGGCACAGUCCAGCCCAUCCCAGCCACAUUCCUCAGUGUUGCAGCCCUGGUCACAACGGCCAUCUGCAAAGUGGUCGGCGCAGUACUUCUCAUAAACCGGGCUGGGGACAGAGAACACAAACUCAGAGAUUCUUCGGGUCACCUAAAUGCACACACAGAGAAUAGCAGUAGUGGACAGUGCUGGUAUGGGGUUGGGGAUGGUGGUGGUGGGAAAUGUUCUUGCAUAUGCUUUCUGCAAAUGCAGUCGUUGGCUGCAUAAGCACAAGUUCUGUGUUCCUAAUUUGAAAUAAUUGGGACUAAAACUAUUUCAGAGUUCAAAUUAGAGUUUUAGAAUAUUUACACAUAUGCUUAAAUAUUAUAUAUGCAAAUAAAUGCAAUGAGAUAUCUUUCU